GAUGGACGCUGGCGGCGCGCCUAACACAUGCAAGUCGAACGAAGCUUGACGGAUGAUUUCUUCGGAAUGAAACCAGAUAUGACUUAGUGGCGGACGGGUGAGUAACACGUGAGCAACCUGCCUUUCAGAGGGGGAUAACGGCUGGAAACGGUCGCUAAUACCGCAUGAUGUGUUCGGAUGGCAUCAUCUGAACAUCAAAGAUUUAUCGCUGAAAGAUGGGCUCGCGUCUGAUUAGAUAGUUGGUGGGGUAACGGCCUACCAAGUCUACGAUCAGUAGCCGGACUGAGAGGUUGAACGGCCACAUUGGGACUGAGAUACGGCCCAGACGCCUACGGGAGGCAGCAGUGGGGAAUAUUGCACAAUGGGGGAAACCCUGAUGCAGCAACGCCGCGUGAAGGAUGACGGUUUUCGGAGUGUAAACUUCUUUUCUUAGUGACGAAGACAGUGACGGUAGCUAAGGAAUAAGCAUCGGCUAACUACGUG
rnacentral:rRNA from 1 species